rnacentral:rRNA from 1 species
CUAAGAACUUUCCAGAGAUGGAUUGGUGCCUUCGGGAACUUAGAUACAGGUGCUGCAUGGCUGUCGUCAGCUCGUGUCGUGAGAUGUUGGGUUAAGUCCCGCAACGAGCGCAACCCUUUUCCUUAUUUGCCAGCGGGUCAUGCCGGGAACUUUAAGGAUACUGCCAGUGACAAACUGGAGGAAGGCGGGGACGACGUCAAGUCAUCAUGGCCCUUACGGCCAGGGCUACACACGUGCUACAAUGGUCGGUACAAAGGGUUGCUACCUCGCGAGAGGAUGCUAAUCUCAAAAAGCCGAUCGUAGUCCGGAUCGCAGUCUGCAACUCGACUGCGUGAAGUCGGAAUCGCUAGUAAUCGCGGAUCAGAAUGCCGCGGUGAAUACGUUCCCGGGCCUUGUACACACCGCCCGUCACACCAUGGGAGUUUGUUGCACCAGAAGUAGGUAGUCUAACCGCAAGGAGGACGCUUACCACGGUGUGGCCGAUGACUGGGGUGAAGUCGUAACAAGGUAGGCGUAGAUGA